rnacentral:lncRNA from 1 species
UAGUUGCAACUUGCAAAAGUAGAUGUGUACACAAAGAAGAAAAUAUAGAUUAUAUAUUAUAUUCUGCUUCUUACAUAUUUCACAUGAUAGAACAAGCGGCGUGGACGUUGUCGUCGCUGAAGAGGGAAACGUAGUUUUCACCAGGUGCGUUUGCGGCUGGAAACGCUUGUGUAGGGUUGCGGAUGUGGCCUGCAGGCGCACGUUUGUCGUACAUGCCAGGUGCGAAAGGGUAAUAGACCAUAUGCUGAGGUAUGUAAGGCCAAAACUCUGCCUUCUUCCCUGUGCUCUUCACUCUCUUCAACACCUUGUUUGGGUCCACGUGACCGUUCACCGUUAGCCGGCUCUGUUUCCGGUUCACCUCCACCGUUUUCACGCCUAUACCAGUCGGUUCAAAACAUGAAAAAUAAGUAACCAAUUGUCUAACCUCUUAAACGAUGUGAAUUGUUCCAUUAUGCUACCAAUAUUCACCUCUUAAGAUUCCAUUUAGCCUUAUGGUUAUUGUUUUGACUUCAUGGAAGAUCACUCCACCAAAACAAACAAAAAUAUAUUCUCUUUGAGUAAAGCAUAAAGAUAUUUUGCAGACGUGAAAAGUAUUAUUAAGCUUCUGGUUUAGAGCUAGGUCAUCCAUAAUAGAUAUAUCAUAAUACCACUUUGCCACAUUUGGUUUACCAUGUUCUAACGUUCUAAACAUACAAAAGUGAACAUAGACCAUCUUAGUCCAUAUGUGAAAAUAUUGUCUCUAUAAUUUAUUACAUAGUUUAUACAUGACCUUUUCUGUAUUAUGAGAAUAGUUGCAACUUGCAAAAGUAGAUGUGUACACAAAGAAGAAAAUAUAGAUUAUAUAUUAUAUUCUGCUUCUUACAUAUUUCACAUGAUAGAACAAGCGGCGUGGACGUUGUCGUCGCUGAAGAGGGAAACGUAGUUUUCACCAGGUGCGUUUGCGGCUGGAAACGCUUGUGUAGGGUUGCGGAUGUGGCCUGCAGGCGCACGUUUGUCGUACAUGCCAGGCGCGAAAGGGUAAUAGACCAUAUGCUGAGGUAUGUAAGGCCAAAACUCUGCCUUCUUCCCUGUGCUCUUCACUCUCUUCAACACCUUGUUUGGGUCCACGUGACCGUUCACCGUUAGCCGGCUCUGUUUCCGGUUCACCUCCACCGUUUUCACGCCUAUACCAGUCGGUUCAAAAC